GACGAACGCUGGCGGCGUGCCUAAUACAUGCAAGUAGGACGCACAGUUUAUACCGUAGCUUGCUACACCAUAGACUGUGAGUUGCGAACGGGUGAGUAACGCGUAGGUAACCUGCCUGGUAGCGGGGGAUAACUAUUGGAAACGAUAGCUAAUACCGCAUAAUAUUAAUUAUUGCAUGAUAAUUAAUUGAAAGGUGCAAUUGCACCACUACCAGAUGGACCUGCGUUGUAUUAGCUAGUAGGUGAGGUAACGGCUCACCUAGGCGACGAUACAUAGCCGACCUGAGAGGGUGAUCGGCCACACUGGGACUGAGACACGGCCCAGACUCCUACGGGAGGCAGCAGUAGGGAAUCUUCGGCAAUGGACGAAAGUCUGACCGAGCAACGCCGCGUGGGUGAAGAAGGUUUUCGGAUCGUAAAGCUCUGUUGUAAGAGAAGAACGGGUGUGAGAGUGGAAAGUUCACACUGUGACGGUAUCUUACCAGAAAGGGACGGCUAACUACGUG
rnacentral:rRNA from 1 species